AUUGAACGCUGGCGGCAUGCUUUACACAUGCAAGUCGAACGGUAACAGGGUGCUUGCACCGCUGACGAGUGGCGAACGGGUGAGUAAUGCGUCGGAACGUGCCGAGUAGUGGGGGAUUACGCAGCGAAAGUUGUGCUAAUACCGCAUACGUACUGAGGUAGAAAGUGGGGGACCUUCGGGCCGCACGCUAUUCGAGCGGCCGACGUCUGAUUAGCUAGUAGGGGAGGUAAAGGCUCACCUAGGCGACGAUCAGAAGCGGGUCUGAGAGGAUGAUCCGCCACACUGGGACUGAGACACGGCCCAGACUCCUACGGGAGGCAGCAGUGGGGAAUUUUGGACAAUGGGCGAAAGCCUGAUCCAGCCAUGCCGCGUGUCCGAAGAAGGCCUUCGGGUUGUAAAGGACUUUUGUCAGGGAGGAAAUCCCUAGCGUUAAUACCGCUGGGGGAUGACAGUACCUGAAGAAUAAGCACCGGCUAACUACGUGCCAGCCGCCGCAGUAAGAC
rnacentral:rRNA from 1 species